GAUGAACGCUGGCGGCGUGCCUAAUACAUGCAAGUCGAGCGAACAGAUAAGGAGCUUGCUCCUUCGACGUUAGCGGCGGACGGGUGAGUAACACGUGGGUAACCUACCUAUAAGACUGGAAUAACUCCGGGAAACCGGGGCUAAUGCCGGAUAACAUUUAGAACCGCAUGGUUCUAAAGUGAAAGAUGGUUUUGCUAUCACUUAUAGAUGGACCCGCGCCGUAUUAGCUAGUUGGUAAGGUAACGGCUUACCAAGGCAACGAUACGUAGCCGACCUGAGAGGGUGAUCGGCCACACUGGAACUGAGACACGGUCCAGACUCCUACGGGAGGCAGCAGUAGGGAAUCUUCCGCAAUGGGCGAAAGCCUGACGGAGCAACGCCGCGUGAGUGAUGAAGGUCUUCGGAUCGUAAAACUCUGUUAUUAGGGGAGAACAAAUGUGUAAGUAACUGUGCACGUCUUGACGGUACCUAAUCAGAAAGCCACGGCUAACUACGUG
rnacentral:rRNA from 1 species